rnacentral:rRNA from 1 species
GACGAACGCUGGCGGCGUGCUUAACACAUGCAAGUCGAACGAAGUGGCGGACGGGUGAGUAAUGCGUAAGCAACCUGCUCUUCAGAGGGGGACAACAGUUGGAAACGACUGCUAAUACCGCAUACUGAAGGAGGGGAUUGCGUCUGAUUAGCUAGUUGGAGGGGUAACGGCCCACCAAGGCGAUGAUCAGUAGCCGGUCUGGGGGGAAGGACGGCCAAAUUGGGACUGGUACACGGCCCAGACUCCUACGGGAGGCAGCAGUGGGGAAACUUCCGCAAUUGACGAAAGUCUGACGGAGCAACGCCGCGGGAGUGAUAACGGCCUUCGGGUUGUAAAACUCUGUUAAUCGGGACGCGGUACCGGAAUAGAAAGCCACGGCUAACUACGUGCCAGCCGCCGCGGUAAUUC